rnacentral:rRNA from 1 species
UACGUAGGCAGCAAGCGUUGUUCGGAAUUACUGGGCGUAAAGGGCGUGUAGGUGGCCAACUAAGUCCGACGUGAAAUCCCCAGGCUUAACCUGGGAACUGCGUCGGAUACUGGAUGGCUUGAAUUCGGGAGAGGGAUGCAGAAUUCCAGGUGUAGCGGUGAAAUGCGUAGAUAUCUGGAGGAACACCGGUGGCGAAGGCGGCAUCCUGGACCGGUAUUGACGCUGAGGCGCGAAAGCCAGGGGAGCAAACGGG